rnacentral:rRNA from 1 species
UACGUAGGGGGCGAGCGUUGUCCGGAUUUAUUGGGCGUAAAGAGCGUGUAGGCGGCCAGGUAGGUCUGCUGUGAAAACUCGAGGCUCAACCUCGAGACGUCGGCGGAAACCAUCUGGCUAGAGUCCGGAAGAGGAAAGUGGAAUUCCUGGUGUAGCGGUGAAAUGCGCAGAUAUCAGGAAGAACACCCGUGGCGAAGGCGGCUCUCUGGGACGGUACUGACGCUGAGACGCGAAAGCGUGGGGAGCGAACAGG